CCCCACUUCCGGAAGCCCACCGUUAAUUGUUCCAACAGCAGAGGCGAACUCAGUUUGCUGCUAGAGCGCCUGCUCAGAGUUCCUGCACUGAGCGCUUUCGUUUCUUGGUUUUGUGUGUGUGUGUGAGCUAUGGCUCGUUCCUCAAGGGCUCUCUUGGAACCUAGUGUGGGAACCCACGGGUGCCGGGCACCCUCGGUGGUAUCAGAGAGGCAGGUAAUUUCCAGUGUGCGGAGAGGUGACAUCCUAGGGGCUGGGGUGGUCUGAGAUUAUGGUUCCCUGACACCUAUUCGUAAAGAGUUCGAGCCUGCGUUUGAGAAGGUUAUUUACUUACAUACCUCAAGACUACGCUAUGGAAAUAAAAUUUAAAGAUGAUGGAUGAGGACAUCGGCAGCUUCUGGACAAGCAUGCAUGGGAUCCUGGGUUCAAUACCCCGUGGCAGCAAAAAUGAAAUAAUUGAAUCGGGCAUGGUAACACAUGUUUGUAACCUCAGCAGGUAGUUAGCAGGGUGCCCCCAUUAUAUUGGGAGUGGAGAGCCAGCCUGGGCUGCCAGAGAAUCAAUCUCUCUCUCUCCCUCUCUCUCUUCAGAUCUUCUUAGGGUUAUUAUUGCAGCUAUGACAACUGUUGUUAAAACAAGACAAAGAGGCUCAAACCCAAGCUCCUUGAAUGACAAAAACGAAAGAAUCAACCCCCACGACUGUUUGACUCAUGAAAUGAACAAGUCCUAAAGAUCUGUGGAUCCAACAGUUUUUGGUCGUGGCUACUAAGUCAUUGGGAAGAACCUUACCAGUGACACAUACUUAAGGUUGUUAAAGUUUCUAUUUCCCACUGUCCAAGAGUUCUUGCAAACUCGUUGGAACAGUGUUUCUCAACUUUUGGCUGGAGAUCCUUAUUCAAAGGUUACCUAAGACCAUCUGAAAAGAGGUAUUUACAUUACAAUUUAUAAGUGUAGCAAAAUUGCAGUUAUGGAGUAGCAAUGAAAGUUUUAUGGUUGGGGGGUCACCACAACAUGAAGAGCUGUAUUUAAGGGUCACAGCAUCAGGAAGGUUGAGAACCUCUGAGUUAGAACAACUGAUACAGGGAUCUAUAGCUAAACAAUAUGAAGAGAGUGAGACUUUAGAGCUUAAGGUCUUAAAUGUGAUGUCUCCACCAAAUCCCUCCCCACCAAGGCACAAGAGUCUAGGCCAAAAAGGAGGCAGAAAGAUACAAGCGUCAGAGGUGACAGAGGACUGAAGGAGGUAGUGUUUUCCAGAUAGAGCAGGACUGAUAGACAAGUGAACUCAGAGACUGUGGCAGCACACACAAGGCCUGCACACUGUCAGCCACAGGGUAUCCUGACACCGAGAGCAGGAUGUGGACAAUAAGAAAAAAAGAAGGGGUCCAGCUUCUUCUUCUUCCUCUUCUUCUUCUUCUUCUUCUUCUUCUUCUUCUUCUUCUUCUUCUUCUUCUUCUUCUUCUUCUUCUCCUUCUCCUUCUCCUUCUCCUUCUCCUUCUCCUUCUCCUUCUCCUUCUCCUUCCCCUUUCCCUCCUCCUCCUUCUUUCUUCUUUCUUCUUCUUUCUCCUCCUCCUCCUUCUUUCUUCUUUCUUCUUUCUUCUUCUUUCUCCUCCUCCUUCUUUCUUCUUCUU
rnacentral:lncRNA from 1 species